rnacentral:lncRNA from 1 species
CUGCCAGUCCUCUAGGAGGGUCUUGCACAGCCCUCAAGGCCUGGCAGAGAAGCCUCCCUCCAGGGGGAGGGAAAGUGAGGCCGAUCGUCCACCCCACUAGCUGGCCUCUCCUGGGGUCGGAUGCUUGCAGGACUCCCCAGGGAGUGGUAAAGGGAAAGUGGAGGUGAACUGAACCGGAGAGGAAAAUAGAAGAGGAUGACAACUUCCCAAGGAGCCCAGGAACUCCUGGAGCAGGGCUGGUGGGAACUGGCCUGGGGACAGAAGAAGACAGCCUUGUUCCAUCCUGUGCUAAAGCCAUGCCAGCCCCCCACAAACCCAGGGCACAGCCACACUGGGUAGUGAUCACAUGGCCCCAGAGUGUUCUGAAAGGUCCAGAUAUGGGGCUUCAACUGUCCAGGAGGGCAGGCCAGGGAAGACCUGCCCCAGCCCACAGCUCGUGCAUGCGCUGCACGAGGUGUUUGUGCACCCCCCAAACUCAGCCCUCAUGAUGCACCCCAUGGGAUACCACCCUGUUGUAUGGGAGAAGCAGUAAAAUGCCUACGUAGUCCUAGGUUGGUGCCAAGGCCACACAGCUGGGGAGGGAACAGGGCUGGGGCACCCCCCGUCCUACUUUCUGGUUUGGCUUCCACUCUGGCAUCCUUUCUGCUACCAUGCCAGCUUAAUUAUGGGAUCAUUAUCAGGUGCCACGGUCUCUCCUUCUCCCGCCCUCAUUAGUGCAGGGGAAGUAACCUUCUCCACGUCUGUGUCUUGGAAUACUAUGAAGGAUGGUACCAAAAGUUGUGUUAGACUUGGUCCCAGGGGUGGGAUCGAGUGCCCCACACACACCUGAGCCAGGAACACACCUGGACAGAGACCCCCCAGGAGCUGGGGGCUGGGCAUCAAGAAGAAACCCAACCCUCCACUCCAAGGGGCCUGGAAGCAAGCAAACAUUGUCAGGGUACAAUAAUCCCGUUCUAGUUUUGUAAUUAAAAAUACAUCCAAAGGGAAAAAGGAAACAAAAAGAACAAUAUUUGUACUCUGUUGUUGCAGAGAGCUGAAGUGGGG